rnacentral:rRNA from 1 species
UACGAAGGGGGGCUAGCGUUGCUCGGAAUCACUGGGCGUAAAGCGCACGUAGGCGGAUUGUUAAGUCAGGGGUGAAAUCCUGGAGCUCAACUCCAGAACUGCCUUUGAUACUGGCGAUCUUGAGUCCGGGAGAGGUGAGUGGAACUGCGAGUGUAGAGGUGAAAUUCGUAGAUAUUCGCAAAGAACACCAGUGGCGAAGGCGGCUCACUGGCCCGGUACUGACGCUGAGGUGCGAAAGCGUGGGGAGCAAACAGG